AGUUCUCCCAUAUAAAAGCAAAAUUUUAGUGGUAACUUUUUGGAAUGAAAUAUUUCGGCUGCAUUUUAACAUUUUUCUUACUCUUGGCAAUCGACACAAAACCAACUGGGGCUGUCUGUGGCUAUGAGUCUUGUCCUGAAACAAAACCAAACUUGGUCAACAUUCACUUGGUCCCUCACUCCCACGACGAUGUUGGCUGGCUGAAGACGGUGGAUCAGUAUUACUUGCCA